rnacentral:rRNA from 1 species
CCUACGGGAGGCAGCAGUGAGGAAUAUUGGUCAAUGGACGAGAGUCUGAACCAGCCAAGUAGCGUGAAGGAUGACGGCCCUAUGGGUUGUAAACUGCUUUUAUACGGGAAUAAACCGAUUCACGUGUGGGAUUUUGUAUGUACCGUAUGAAUAAGGACCGGCUAAUUCCGUGCCAGCAGCCGCGGUAAUACGGAGGGUCCGGGCGUUAUCCGGAUUUAUUGGGUUUAAAGGGAGCGCAGGUGGCUCGUUAAGUGUGUUGUGAAAUUGUGCGGCUCAACCGUGGAAUUGCAGUUGGAACUGGGGGGCUUGAGUACGCGGGAGGUAGGCGGAAUUCGUGGUGUAGCGGUGAAAUGCUUAGAUAUCACGAAGAACUCCGAUUGCGAAGGCAGUUUACUGUAGCGCAACUGACGCUGAGGCUCGAAGGUGCGGGUAUCGAACAGGAUUAGAUACCCUAGUAGUC